rnacentral:rRNA from 1 species
UUGAACGCUGGCGGCAUGCCUUACACAUGCAAGUCGAACGGCAGCACGGGGCAACCUGGUGGCGAGUGGCGAACGGGUGAGUAAUAUAUCGGAACAUACCCUAGAGUGGGGGAUAACGUAGCGAAAGUUACGCUAAUACCGCAUACGAACUAAGGUUGAAAGUGGGGGAUCGCAAGACCUCAUGCUCAUGGAGUGGCCGAUAUCUGAUUAGCUAGUUGGUGAGGUAAAGGCUCACCAAGGCGACUAUCAGUAGCUGGUCUGAGAGGACGACCAGCCACACUGGAACUGAGACACGGUCCAGACUCCUACGGGAGGCAGCAGUGGGGAAUUUUGGACAAUGGGGGCAACCCUGAUCCAGCAAUGCCGCGUGAGUGAAGAAGGCCUUCGGGUUGUAAACUGCUUUUGUCAGGGAAGAAAUCCUCUGGGUUAAUACCUCGGGGGGAUGACGGUACCUGAAGAAUAAGCACCGGCUAACUACGU